rnacentral:tRNA from 3 species
GGGGAUAUAGCUCAGUUGGUAGAGCACCUGCCUUGCAAGCAGGGGGUCAGCGGUUCGAAUCCGCUUAUCUCCACCA